AAUGAACGCUAGCGAUAGGCUUAACACAUGCAAGUCGAGGGGCAGCACAGGGUAUCUUGCUGUCUGGGUGGGGACCGGCUCAGGGUUUGGUAAUGGGUUUGCAACUUCCCUUAGACAGGAGUAUAACCCCCGGAAGAUCGGCCUAAUCCUACGAUUUCUCACAACUGGGCAUCAAGGGGUGGGGAAAGCAAUUCGGUAUGGUAAAGGCUUGCUUCCGCUUAGCUUGUUGGUGAGGUAACGGCUCACCAAGGCAACGAUGGGCAGGGGAACUGAGAGGUUAUUCCCCGACAUUAGUACUGAGACACGGACCAGAGUCCUACGGGAGGCAGCAGUGAGGAACAUUGGGCAAUGGGCGCGAGCCUGAACCAGCCAAGUCGCGUGAAGGAUGACUGUCUUAUGGAUUGUAAACUUCUUUUAUACGGGAAUAACAAGAGUACCGUGUGACUCACUGACUGUACCGGAUGAAUAAGCACCGGCUAACUCCGUG
rnacentral:rRNA from 1 species